UUGAGUUUGUCAAGAAUAAAUUCGAAAAUUUAACUUCUGCAUCAUGAAGUACCUCUCAAUUUUCAUGUUCAUUGCGAUGCUGUUUGCGGCUGUCACUGGACAACCUGGUUGUAGAGGACGCAAUAGCCGGUGCCGAUUCCAUCAUGAGUGUUGUGGAAGUCUACUUUGUCGUAGAGGGCGUUGUAUCUAAAUUGAGACGCACUCAGAGGGAAGAGAUACGACUCCUCGCCCCGGAAUAAGAUCCUGAUCAUGCAGCAAAUCCAUAAUAUAUCGGAAGACCAUCAGUUUCCUUCUAAAUGAUUUCACCUAUAAAUUUCUGUACAACAAUUUAUAAUUUUCUGUACUUAUUCUUGAGUGAUAUAUACA